GGUCAACUUCACGCGUUAAGUUGCUGAGCCAUGAUCAAACUCUAGUGUCACCUAAAUAGCAAAGGAAAGCGGGGGACUCGCAAGGGCCUCGCGCUAUGGGAGCGGCCGAUGUCCGAUUAGCUUGUUGGCGGGGUAAUGGCCCACCAAGGCGACGAUCGGUAGCUGGUCUGAGAGGAUGAUCAGCCACACUGGGACUGAGACACGGCCCAGACUCCUACGGGAGGCAGCAGUGGGGAAUUUUGGACAAUGGGGGAAACCCUGAUCCAGCCAUGCCGCGUGAGUGAAGAAGGCCUUCGGGUUGUAAAGCUCUUUUGGUCGGAAAGAAGGGGUUCGGGUGAAC
rnacentral:rRNA from 1 species